GCCUCUUCCCACGUGCUUUUCUGAUGCACCACGAUCAGCUCAUAGACCUUCAUGCAAUAAAAUCUCAAACGGACACCGCAGGGUCUGGCGUACAGAGUAUGCGCGGAUUUCUGGACAGCACCACAUUGAUCACCAUCAGUGGACAGGUAAUCGUAGUCCUGCAUGCAGCGCUGCUCUGCCUCUUGGAAUGACAAUGUCUCGUUCACGAAAUAGUGAAGUCUGUAGACGCCGACGUUCAGACUACAGAGGCUUGAAAGAAGCAGCACAGAUAUUGAUGACUUGUUACCACACCUGUUCACAAAUUUCUGGCAUGAACAGACCAAUGAAAACCAGGGCCGCUCUGACAUUAAGAGCGACCUUGACAUGGU